rnacentral:rRNA from 1 species
GGCCAGACUCCUACGGGAGGCAGCAGUGGGGGAUAUUGCACAAUGGGGGAAACCCUGAUGCAGCGACGCCGCGUGAGUGAAGAAGUAUUUCGGUAUGUAAAGCUCUAUCAGCAGGGAAGAAGAUGACAGUACCUGAGUAAGAAGCCCCGGCUAACUACGUGCCAGCAGCCGCGGUAAUACGGAGGAUGCGAGCGUUAUCCGGAUUUAUUGGGUUUAAAGGGUGCGUAGGCGGACUGGAAAGUCAGCGGUAAAAUCGAGAGGCUCAACCUCUUUCCGCCGUUGAAACUGUCGGUCUUGAGUGGGCGAGAAGUAUGCGGAAUGCGUGGUGUAGCGGUGAAAUGCAUAGAUAUCACGCAGAACUCCGAUUGCGAAGGCAGCAUACCGGCGCCCGACUGACGCUGAGGCACGAAAGCGUGGGUAUCGAACAGGAUUAGAUACCCCUGUA